rnacentral:rRNA from 1 species
GUUGAGUGUUGAGAGUUAGAUAGUGGCGAACGGGUGAGUAACGCGUAGAUAAUCUGCCUCAAAGAUGGGGACAACACUUGGAAACGAGUGCUAAUACCGAAUGUGGUAUCUUGUGUGCAUACAUGAGAUAAAAAAGAUGGCCUCUGAAUAUGCUAUCGCUUUGAGAUGAGUCUGCGUCUGAUUAGCUAGUUGGAGAGGUAAAAGCUCACCAAGGCGACGAUCAGUAGCCGGUCUGAGAGGAUGAACGGCCACACUGGGACUGAGACACGGCCCAGACUCCUACGGGAGGCAGCAGUGGGGAAUCUUCCGCAAUGGACGA